ensembl:misc_RNA 7SK 7SK RNA
GGAUGUGAGGUCGAUCUGGCUGCGACACCUGUCACCCCAUUGAUCGCCAGGGUUGAUUCGGCUGAUCUGGCUGGCUAGGCGGGUGUCCCCUUCCUCCCUCACCGCUCCAUGUGCAUCCCUCCCGAAGCUGUGCGCUCGGUCGAAGAGGACGACCUUCCCUGAAUAGAGGAGGACCCAUCUUCGGUCAAGGGUACACAAGUAGCUACGUUCCCCUGCUAGAACCUCCAAACAAGCUCUCAAGUUUUGAUUAGUAUGUCUUAGAGAUCUAUGAAACAAAAAUGCCUCUGAUCUGCAAGCCCUUUACCCAAGGACAGAUAGUUCCUGAAAUGCUGGAGGCUGUUGUUUAUG